rnacentral:tRNA from 1 species
GGGUAAUUAACUCAGUGGCAAAGUGUUUCGUUUACAUCGAAGAGGCCAAAGGUUUGAUCCCUUUAUCAUCUA